UCUUCCAGACUAUUUUAAAAAAGUUUAUCACUGGAUUUAAAUAUUUUUCAGGUCUACUCUUACAAGCUAGUAGAGGAAAAGUAUACAACGACAACUACCCCUGCAACUACUAAAAGUACUUCAACUACUCCUUUUCCAAUAUAUUGGAUCACUCCUAGACCAAGAAGUCAAUCUAAUACAAUUUCACAGAUUUUUGAAGAUUACGCACAAAAUAAAUUCGCAAAAGCUAGAAAAUUUGAUAGUCACGGAAAACCUAUUGGUGGUGCAAUCUUCAAUGCUUUAGGAAAAGUGAGUCAUGAAGUUGCUGAUUUCUUUGAAGAUUAAUCAAAAUAAGUCAUGUGUCUUUUCAAACAACGAUGCUAGUGUCUUCUUCAUUUUUAUUUUUAUUUUUACUAUUCUUU